GACGAACGCUGGCGGCGUGCUUAACACAUGCAAGUCGAACGAAAAGAGGGAAAGAGCUUGCUCUUUCCGGAAUUGAGUGGCAAACGGGUGAGUAACACGUAAACAACCUGCCUUCAGGAUGGGGACAACAGACGGAAACGACUGCUAAUACCGAAUAAGUUCCAAGAGCCGCAUGGCCCAUGGAAGAAAAGGUGGCCUCUACCUGUAAGCUAUCGCCUGAAGAGGGGUUUGCGUCUGAUUAGCUGGUUGGAGGGGUAACGGCCCACCAAGGCGACGAUCAGUAGCCGGUCUGAGAGGAUGAACGGCCACACUGGAACUGAGACACGGUCCAGACUCCUACGGGAGGCAGCAGUGGGGAAUCUUCCGCAAUGGGCGAAAGCCUGACGGAGCAACGCCGCGUGAGUGAUGACGGCCUUCGGGUUGUAAAACUCUGUGAUCCGGGACGAAAAGGCAGAGUGCGAAGAACAAACUGCAUUGACGGUACCGAAAAAGCAAGCCACGGCUAACUACGUG
rnacentral:rRNA from 1 species